rnacentral:tRNA from 1 species
GCCCUCGUAGCUCAGUGGAUAGAGCACGGGUUUCCUAAACCCGGUGUCGCAGGUUCGAUUCCUGCCGGGGGCG